rnacentral:lncRNA from 1 species
UUUUUUUUUUUUUCCUCCUCGGGCUCUUUUUUUUCUCUCUAUAUUAUGUUCUCCAUUUUUUUCCGUAUAAAUUAUUUGUGGUAAAGAGGAAAUAUAACCAUUGUCAUUUAUAAAUACAAUUGAAAAAAUAUUUCAAAUUGUUCAUGUGCUUUAUCAAAAGGGAAAAUGGUCUGAUAUACCCCUCAACUUUGUCAUUUAGAGCUGAUAUAUCCUUCGCUAUGAAAGUGGCUCAUAUAUACCCCUAUUGUUAUACAAAUGGUUCACAUAUACUCUUUCCUCUAACGGAAGUGAAAAAGUUAAUUUUAAUUUAGUUUUUUUAAUUAUUUUUUUGAGAAAACAAUAAUCAAUAUGGGGUAUAUUUGAUCUUCCUAACACAUAUUUUUUUUUUACUUUUUUGUUCCAAUGACUAAUUUAAAUAUAUUAUUUUGAUGGUCAAAUUUAUUUAUGUUUCACUAAUUUUCUUGUGAAAUUUAUUAUAGAUGCCCAUUUUUUUUACAAAUACAAAACUAAAUUACAAUAUAGCCGUACAAAAAUUAGUUUUAAAUUUUUUCCGUACACUAAAGAAUGAAAGAAAAAAAUAAUGAGAAACUCGAAUAAUGAUAAUCAAAGAAGUCAAAAAAUAAUUUUUGUAUGAAAAAAGAUUAAAAUAUAUCUUGAACUUUGCUAGAAGGAUCAUAUAUAUAUACCCCCACAUGGACUUUUAAAAAAAUUAAAGUCAAAAAAAUAAAUUUAAAACUAAUUUUUUCACUUCCAUUAGAUGAAAGGUAAUGUGAGCUCCUUUUGUAACUGUAAGGGUAUAUGUGAGUCAUUUGUAUAACGGUAAGGGUACAUAUGAGCCACUUUCAUAACGAGGGGUAUAUCAUCUCUAAAUGUCAAAGUUAAGGGGUAUAUCAAACCCUUUUCCCUUAUCAAAAUUAUAUAUUUUUAAAAGGGAAAAAGACAAAUAUGCCCCCGAACUAUCGUAAAUGGUAUGCAGAUACCCUCCGUCAUACUUUUGGGACAUUGGUGCCCAUGACGUCUAAAAACUAGAGCAUAUGCCCUUUAUACUAACAGACAUACAUGUAUCAUAAUCUCAUCCACCGAUUCGGCAUUUAUUAAAUAUCAGAUCGACGGAUAAGAUUGUGUCACGUGUUCCUAUUUAGUCUUCCGUUAGAGUGAAUGGCAUAUAUGCUCUAGUUUUUGGAUGACAGGGGCACUUAUGUCCCAAAAGUAUGACGUAGAGUAUCUGCAUACCAUUUACGAUAGUUUGAAGGUAUAUUUUUUCCUUUUUUCCUUUUUAAAAUUAAAAAUAACUUACACAUAUAAAUUAAUUUAUAAUGAGGUUGAAAAGUAAAAAUUUAUAAUUAGCAUUUUAUAAUGUUUAACAAUUUUAAGAGUAUUUUAACAAAAAAAUGUAUAACAAUACUUAUGGACCAAACACAUGAUCAACUUUUUUUUAGUUCAACACUUCUAUUCAAACACCUAACUGUUUUUUAAAAAAAAAAGUUUCAGCACUUUUAAAAAAUCAUUGUUUUCAAUCAAUCCAAACAUGCUCUUAGUAUCCUAACUUAUAACUUUUGACUUUAAAAGUUAUUUUCACUUAAAACAAAUACAUUAAAAUUAUUUUUAUAUUACUGAGACAUUACAAAAAUGCUUUAAAACUUUUCUUUUUUUAAAACUUACAUACUUUUCUUUAAACUCUGAAAGAUAAAAUAGGUCUUUAAAAUGGGAAAAAGAAGUUAAAAAAUAAAAAAGGAAAAAGUAGUGGUUGGGGAGAAAGGGGAGCGCAGCUUUCAGCAUUAGGGCAACGAAAAAAAUUCUUUCAGUCAUUUGGUUGAACAGUUUGAUGAUGAAAUAUAGACUUGUAAUUUCCUUGUUCCUUCGUGGUCAUCUCACUCCCAAUUUGCCAUCUUUUCUUCUUCGAUCCACCAGUGGUGUUUUCGUUCCCCAUGCUAGUUUCCUACAUGGUGCUCUCUCAAGGUCUACUUCUGGAAUCAGGUUCUCUACUUUUACUUCCUCAAGCAAUUCACAUGAUGGCAGUGAUUAUGAACAUGAAGAUACUACUGAUACUGACCCUUCACUAGAUUAUAACGAACUAUAUUCUGAUUUUUCCAAAGAAGAUGUUGAAACAAUUGAAGCCAUUUUCAAACAACCCGGAACCCAUGUGCAUAACAAACUUGAGCAAUGUGGUGUAAGGCCCACACGCAAUCUAGUUACUGUCAUUCUUUCUCGUGCACGAAAUAAUUGGGAAGUUGCAUUCACUUUCUUCAUAUGGGCCAGUAAACAAACAGGUUAUGUGCACUCUGUGCGUCAAUACCAUUCUAUGAUAUCUAUACUUGGAAAAAUGAGGAAGUUUGACACUGCAUGGUCACUCAUUGAGGAAAUGAGAGGUGGUAAAGAUAGACCAUCUCUUGUGAAUCCUCAGACACUCUUGAUCAUGAUAAGGAAAUACUGUGCUGUACAUGACGUCGGAAAAUCUAUCAGUACUUUUUAUGCAUUUAAACGGUUUAAUUUAGAUAUUGGAAUGGAAGAAUUUCAAGACCUUUUGUCUGCCCUUGCUCGCUACAAAAAUGUAAAAGAUGCCGAGCACUUGCUUUUUUGCAAUAAGAAUGUUUUCCCGUUGAAUACCAAGAGUUUGAAUAUCAUUCUCAAUGGAUGGUGUCUUGCCCUUGAUGAUUUAAGUGAGGGAAAGAGGAUUUGGAGGUUGAUGAAGGAAAAAAGGAUUCCUCGUGAUAUUUUUUCGUAUUGUAGUAUCAUGUCUUGCUAUUCGAGGGCUGGUAGACUCAAUGUUGUGCUUAAGCUUUUCGAUGAGAUGAAAUUGUGUGGGGUUGCACCUGAUGUUAAGGUUUAUAAUGCUGUCAUUCAUGCUCUUGCAAAAGGCAGGUUGGUUAAACAAGCUAGGAGUGUGAUGAAGAUGAUGGAAGAGAAUGAUCUCGCUCCAAACGCUGUUACUUAUAACUCAUUAAUCAUGCCUCUCUGCAAAGCUCAAUUACUAGAUGAAGCUCAAGAGAUCUUCAAUGAAAUGAUUCAACGAGGCAUACAUCCUACUGUCCGAACUUACCAUGCAUUGCUUCGUAGCCUGAGGACAGGGGAAGAGGUGUUCGAGCACUUGCAGAAGAUGAACACGAUGGGAUGUAUUCCAACUCAUGACACUUAUAUAAUGUUAAUCCGGAAGUUUUGCCGAUGGUGCCAACUUGAUAAUGUUUUCAUGUUGUGGGAUAAGAUGAGCAAGAUCGGCUUGGACCAUGAUCGAAGUUCAUAUAUAGUGCUGAUACAUGGACUCUUUUUGAAUGGGAAGCUGGAGCAGUCGUACAAAUACUAUCAAGAAAUGAAGCAAAAAGGUUUACUGCCGGAGCCCAAGAUAGAUGAAAUGCUUCAAGCUUGGGUGGCUGGCAGGAGAGAUUCUCAAGAGAAUAAAGUAACAUGUCAUCAGGAGAACAAAAAGGUGGUCAAAUUUGAAAAAGCUGAUAAAGAAAGGGAUUUCCAUAAAAAACCUGAAAUGAGAAAAGUUAUGAGAGAGCGUGGCUUUUCUUUCUGGGAUCAAUAGAUUGAAUGUUGAUUAUAAAAUUACGGUUGGGAAUCUGGCUCGGGUCACUGUACAUACAGGUGCAUGAGGUUUCUCUUCUUUUUGAUUGUUUUAACAGAAUAUUCUUGGUUUAUUUGGUCUACAUACUGGAAAUUCACUGCUAACACAAUUUACUUCCAUAUAUUUUUUUAAACUUUGAUAGCAAGAAAGACUAUUUGAAUAUUCACAGAUGCUUUAUUCCUUUUUAAAAAAAAUAAUUAAAGAUUAAGACAAAAGUGAUCAAUAUUCUUUAUGCUUGUCCCUGAAGUAUAAAAUUGUCACGAUCCGAGUCUACACCCUAGUUGUGACCGGCACUUAGAAUCACGAAUGACGCUUAGCGGACCCGUGGUACUGACAUUUUGCUAAUAACUUAACUGACAUUUUAUGAAGUGCAAGUGGAAGCUAAAACAUAAUUAACUGAAGGAAAUACUUAACAUAUAUCUGAAUAAAAUGCAUGGAACUGAACAACUAAUGUCUGAAGUGGAACCUCUACUAAUUGGAAUGAAAGAAGAAAUAAGUUUGUCGGGACAUGAUCCCUAGCUACCUCAAAGAAAAUAACUGUCCUUACAUAAAACUUAGUUACUGACAACUCCAUGAAGUUACCAAAUGAAGUUGACUCAUCAACUACUGACGGGAAAAACUGCAACCUGUCUAGCCACUAGUGUGAGAGCGAACAUCUAAAUCUACAUCAUAAUAGGAUGCUUUGCAGAGAAAAGUAUGCAGCCAGUACGUGGAAUGUGCUGAGUAUAUAAGGUGAGACUAAACAUAAUCAUUUCGGGUGGCAACAUGUAGUAAGAACUAAUGAGUAUUCAAUAAUCAUAAUCAUAAAUAUAGUGAUAUAAUGAAAGACAUCCUAAAACCAGUGUAUAAAUAUCAUUUGAGAACUUGCUUUCAAUUAUAUAACGGUUGUUUCUGUAGCCCUGAGUUGAAAUUAGAUCUAAACUAUCGCAUUUGAGAAGAACGCUGAUGAUAAUUUAAGUUUAUGAACAUAAUGUUACUUUUAUGGGGAGUUUCUUACAAUCGACAUAUACCAUAUGAGCUUAUGUUGUCCAACUUAUAAUCCAUUUGGAAGGGCUUUCCUAUACCUUGUCAGGGUGUAGGACCUAUCUAUCUGAUGUGGAUCCACUAACUGAGCCUCUUGGGCUAAAGGAGUUGAUCGACUAGUGAUUUACUCAAAAUUCUAUAGUGGCACAUAGUAAUGGGUCUUGGGUUUUCUGAACUCACGACCUCUUAGUGUUAAAUAAUCCUCCCAAAAUAAUAUACAAAUACUGAUAUGCUCAUAAAUAGGUGAACUAUCUAUCUGUCUGUAUCAAGUGUGUAACUAAGCUGAAAAUCAUAUUUCAAAUAAUUUGUAUGGAAACUGAAAUUUGUAUCAUGCUAAUUUCAUGCUUAAAAAUUAUCGAGGUUAAAAAAAACCGUAGUCAUGUUAGAUUUUUUUUUUGAUAACCGAGAAAUCCAUCUGUGACCCACCCUUUGGACCAAUGAGAUUGGUACAAUGAGAUUUAUAAAAACUGAGUAAUACGAUCAAGAACAGGAGCUUAUGAUGAAAUUUCAUUAAUUGAGUAGAAUCCCUAACUUGGAUUCUAGAAAUUCUGUAAAAAUCUUUGAAAGAACAUAUGACUUAGGCAUGAGAGUGAAAUGAUACUCCCAUUGAAGCCUUGCAUACUUUAGUGACGAAACUUGAUGAAAAACCUUGAAAGAAGAAUCCUAACUUGGUGUUUCUUGUGAACUUUUUUAAUUUAAAAUAGUAAUGUUGUAUUCUUUAGCAUUAAGGAUAUGUUGGUGACCUUCAAAAAACAGAGGGAACAAAAACAGAGAAAAAAAUACUUGCAAGGAUCCUAAUAAUUCUACAAUCUGUUCUGUUUCCUCUAAAUCUUUCUCUUUACACCAAAAAUAAAAAGAUACAAUACAAUUCCCUUUAACCUUCUCAAUGGAAUUGGACCUAUCUUCAAAGUUUCUACUGUUUCUUUCUUUCCAAAAUGUCCACCAAAUGCAAUAUGGAAUUAUCCUCAACCAUGCCUUCUGGCUCUUGCUCCCCCCUCUUCUUAUCCAACUACUCCAUAAGUCUGCAGUGUGCUCAGGCAUGGUCCAAUUCGUCUCUGUGAGACCAAGGAAGAUGACCCUAGUUUGUGUUGUAAAGUUGCAAUGCAAGAGUAGAUGCUUGUUGGUCUCCUUUGCCUUCCCGCAUAAUAAACACCAAGGUACUAUAAUCUUUCCUUUUUUCUUCGAUGCUUCAUGUGUAAGGCAAGCCCUUCUUGCAACCAACCAUGUAAAGCAUUUUAUCUUAGUUGGUGCUAAGGUUCUCCAUACCUUUCUCCACAAACUCUGUUUAUAGAUGCUUUGCUAGGGGCUUUCCAUGUUGUAUGCCCUGCUAACAGUGAAAGCCCCAUCUUUACUAUGUUUCCAUCUCAAAGAAGCAGGAGAAUUGGUGGUGCCAGAGAAUUUUUCUAACAGCUCUAGCAAUUUGGCCACUCGCUUUACUUCCCAGUCAUUCAAAAACCUUCUAAAGAUCAGAUUCCACCCUUGUGCUGUCCAACAUUCAUUGAUAUUUGCAUCUGGAUUACUACAUUGUAAGAAUAUAUCUGGAAAGGAUUCUUAUAGAGUGAUUUGUUUGUUCCACGAGUCUGCCUAAGACUUAGUUUUCCUGCCAUCUCCCACUUCAAUGUACAUAUUAGCAUCAAGUUUUUGCCAUUAGUUUCUGAUAAUUCUCCAGAUCCCCGCCCCAUAGGCAUCAACACUAACAUUACUGCACCAAAGAUUGUACUCACCAUACUUGGAUCUGAUGACAUCCUUCCAUAAGGCUUGCCCCUCUUCAUUAUAUCUCCAUAACCACUUCAUCAAAAGACUAUUGUUUUGUUAACUCAAAUCUCUAAUACCCAUAACCCCUUUGUCUCUACUGUUCAAGGUUAUCUCCCAUUUGACAAGGUUAUAACCUUUAAUUUUUUUGCAUCCAUGCCAAAGGAAGUUCCUCCUUAAUCUGUCCAGUUUCUUCAAAACUUUGGUGGGUAAUGGAAAUAGUGACAUGACAUAAUUAGGAAGGAAGUCUAGCACUGAAUUGAUGACUAACUCCUAGAGACAAAUAUUGAGCCUUCCAUCUUUUUGAAAUUGGUAACUAUAUAUAUAUAUAUAUAUUUUUUUUUUUUUAAAAAAAAAUUACACCAUAACAGUGCAAAAGACUUCACAAAAUCCCAACCAAGCUUAGGCUACUGCUUCACAAGGAUCCUAUCAUAUCAACUAGUGAUUCAGCCUCCUCAGCAUAGCUUUCUUUACACCAAAAAUAAAACAAAAAUAUACAAUUCAUCUUGAUUUUCUCCACAAAAUUAUAUUUGUCUUCAAAAACUCUAUAGUUCCUCUCCUUCCAAAUGGUCCACCAUAUGCAAGCAGGGACAAGUUUCAUCCAACUGCCCCAUCAUUCUAGUUCCAACAUUUCAGCAAAUCAACACUUGUUGCUGGCAUUGACCAUCUGAUUCCUACCAUAUUCAAAAAUAGUUGCCAUAAUUGUCCAGUAACGGGACAAUGAAUGAAUAGAUGGCUAUUAUUUUCCCCAGCAGCUCCACACAAAAAGCAUCUAGAACACAGUUGGAAUCCCCUUCUUUGAAGUUUAUCAUGUGUGAGACAAGCAUUUCUUGCUACUAGCCAAGAAAAGCAUACCACCUUAAAAGGAGCCUUCAUCUUCCAAAUGGAUCUCCAUGGCCACUGAUUAGUUGACUGUCUGUGCCUAAUCAAAAUGUUAUUAGCUAAGUUUACAGAAUAAGUUCCUUUACUAGUGGGCUUCCAUAUAAGUGAAUCUUCAGUGUCUUUGAACCCUUGGAAUGAUUCCAAGGUCUUGAAAAAUUCAACAACUCUUUCCAACUCCCAAUCAUGCAGUAGUCUUCUAAAAGUAAUAUUCCAUCCAUGUACUCCUUUUGCUGAUUCCAGGCUAAUGUUUGGCAUAGUGGCAAUGCUAAAGAAUUCAGGGAAGAGUUCCUUUAGAGGUCCAUGUCCAAGCCAGUUAUCACACCUAAAAAGGAUUUUCCUACCAUUGCCCACUCUUAGGCUAAUUUUUCCAGCCAUCAAAGACCAGAGGGAUCUGAUUGCUUUCCAGACUCCUACACCAUGGGGGCUCACAACCACCUUUGAACACCACUGAUCUUCUUGACCAUACUUGUCAUGAAUGACAUUUCUCCAUAAAGCAUAUGUUUCAAGAUUAUACCUCCAUAACCACUUCAUUAGCAAACUUUGGUUGUGAGCAUUUAGGUUCCUGAUGCCAAGGCCACCAUCUUUUCUGGAUUUGAUAAGAACAUCCCAAUUAACCAGGUGGAAUGCUCUUUUUUUGUUGUGUCCUUGCCAUAUGAAAUUCCUUCUGAUCUUGUCAAUUCUUUUCCUAACCUUGCUAGGUAAAGGAAAAAGAGACAUGACAUAAGUAGGAAGGGCAUCCAAAACACUAAUGACUAAUAUAACCCUACCACCUAGAGAUAAGUAUUGUCCCUUCCAUAUUGCAAGCCUCUUUUCAGACCUUUCUAUGACACCAACUCCAAAUCUGCAAGGCUUUACUUUUAGCACCCAAAGUUAGCCCCAAAUAGGUAGUAGGUAGGGAACCCACCACACAUCCCAGAAUACCUGCAAGUGCUUGAAUAUUGUCCACUUUAUUAACCGGGAAUAAACUGCUCUUAUGCCAGUUGAUGUGAAGUCCGGAAACUGCCUCAAAAAUCACCAGAAUAGCUCUCAGAUGUUUGACCUGAUCAAUAUCAGCAUCACAGAAUACCAAUGAAUCAUCUGCGUAAAGUAAAUGGGUGCUCUCUAUCCCACUGCUCUCCCUGUAACUUUGAAACCGUUCAGGGCUCCUAAGUCUUUUGUAAUUUUAAAUAUCUGAUUCAGUCCUUCCAUAGCUAUGAGAAAGAGGAAAGGAGAGAGAGGAUCUCCUUGUCUCAAUCCUCUCUCGGAAGAGAAGAAACCUUCAGGAGAUCCAUUUACCAGAAUAGAAAAUUUGACAGUCUUAAUACAGAAGGCAAUCCAUCUAAUCCACUUCAUACCAAAACCCAUGUCUUUUAGAACUUUUAGGAGGAAAUUCCAAUUAACAUGAUCAUAAGCCUUCUCAAUGUCAAGUUUGCAGAGAAUACCAGGAGUCUGGUAUUUGAUUCUAGAAUCCACACACUCAUUGGCUAUCUUUUUUUUUUUUUUUUUUGAUGAAGUAAGAAGAAUGUCAUUAACAAAGCAUCAAGCAGAUGCACAGAUUACAAAAGAAAGAAAUAUCAGCUCCCAAAAGGCAAAAAAAAGCUAUCUAAACAGCUAACAACAGAGAUCUAUGGAGCUGAUAAAUUCUAGGAAAGAAUCGACACUAAGUACAGGAGAGAGAUUAACCCAACCAAAAAGAGUAAUCAAACAUCUUGCUUUAAAGGUAGAGAUGGGAGUUGGGGUGCCAUCAAAACAUCUUUUGUUCCUCUCCGUCCAUAAGCACCAAUGCUAUGGUAUCAAUGCAUAGCAUCCAUGAUUUGUCUGCCUUUAAUAAAAGCCAUUUGAUGUCUAUCCACCAGUUUAUCAAUCACUCUUGAGCCUUUCAGUGAGGAGCUUAGAGAUAAUUUUAUACACACUCCCGAUCAGACUUAUAGGUAUGAAAUCUCUUUAAGACUUUUGGCACCAAUUUUCUUGGUAAUCAAGGCAACAUAAGUUGCAUUGAAACUCUUUUCAAAAUAAUCACUCGUAUGAAAGUUUCUGAUAGUGUCCAUCACAUCCUUUUUCACAAUUUCCCAGCAGCAUUGGAAAAAUCCCAUAGAGUAUCCAUCUGGGCCUGGAGCUUUGUCAGCAGCACAUAACUUCAAGCAUUCCAACACCUCUUGUUCUUCAAAUUCGCUCUGCAACCAAUCAUUAUCAUCUUCAGUGAUUAUUGAGCCUUCUUGAAGGUUGAAUAAAGGUCUCCAGUGUUCUGUCUCAGAGUACAAAUUCUUAUAGAAAUCCACAAUCUCUUCCUUGAUUCUAUCUGGAUCAGUGAUGGUCUCUCAAUGAGCUUCUAUGGUGUCAAUGUGAUUAAAUCUUUUAUGACAGUUGGCCAUCCUUCGAAAAAAUUUGGUAUUCUUGUCUCCUUGUUUCAACCAUAAGAUUCUGGAUUUCUGCCUCCAAGAAAUUUCCUCAUUUUUUGCCACCUCUUCAUACUCCAUUUUCAAGCUUGCUUUCAAUAGUAAUUCAUCCUCUGAUAGCAGUCUUUGCUCUUGUAUGGUAUCCAGGGAGCUAAUCUGGUAAAGAAUAUCAGCUUUCUUAGCCUUUAGAUUCCUCCCAUUAGCAGUAUUCCAUUCCUUCAAUUUAUGUUUCAGGAAUCUUAGUUUACAAGACAAUAUAAUCAGGUCUUCCUUGUGCUUCACACGAAUUCCACCAUUUGCUAAUCUCCUUUCUGUUUUCUCCACAAUGCCAUCCCAGACUGUAUCCUUGUGUUUAUUUCCUAAAGGCAUAUGCCUAAGUAAACUGUUGGCAUACUUUCCACUUUGCAUCCCAAGUUUUUGCUAGAUUCAAAAUGUUGGUCACCUCUUUGAUUGGAAAUAAAUUGCUUUCCCCUAAUUCACUUUUAGACCUGAGGAAGCUUCAAAAAACAGUAAGAUUGUUUUGAUAAAUCUCAUCUGGUCCUCCCAAGGUUCACAAAAACUGAAAGUAUCAUCUGCAUAGAGCAAAUGACAAAUUUCUUUAACUUGUCCAUUGCUACCCUCUAUUUGAAAACCUUGAUCCAUCUGUUUUGUAUUGCUAUUCUCAUCAAGUUGUCAAAGCCUUCCAUUGCCAAAAUAAACAGAAAGGGAGAUAAGGGGGGUCACCCUGUCUAAGUCCCAGUCCCCUUCCUGAAGGGAAGAAGCCCACUGGUUCACCAUUAACCAGAAUAGAAAAUAGGACAGUGCUGAUGCACAAAUUCAUACAGCCUAGCCACUUUUCUCCAAAGCCCAUUUGUCUGAGAAUGUUCAGCAAGAACUUCCAAUUCACAUGAUCAUAUGCCUUUUCAAUGUCCAGUUUACACAUUAUACCAGGCUCAACACCUUUCAAUCUUGAAUCCACACAUUCACUAGUUAUAAGUGCAACUUCCAUUAUCUGUCUCCCUCCAAUGAAGGCCAUUUGAUGCUUAUUGAGCAACUUAUCCACCACCUUUUCAGUCUCUCAGCUAGUAUCUGUACUAACACUUUGUAUAUGCAUGUGAUUAGACUUAUAGGUCUGAAGUCCUUCAAUUCAGAAGCAUCUGCUUUCUUGGGGAUGAGAGCCACAAAAGUUGCAUUGGAACUUCUCUCAGUCCUCUGAUUAUUUUAGAACUCAUGUAUCACACCUUUGAUAUCUUCUUUCAUCACUUCCCAAACUAUAAGAUAAAAGGACUUGGGAAAACCAUUGGGCCCAGGAGCUUUCUCCAUCGCACAAAGUUUAAUGCAUUCUAGAAUCUCCUCCUCCUCAAUUUGUUCCUGUAACUCUUCCUUUUCAUCCUCAUUAAUACAAGUAACCCCUGCCAUUGUAAUUAUGGCCUCCAAACUUCUGUUUCCUUGUACAAAUUUUCAUAGAAACUCUUGAUGGUCUCCUUUAUGUCAGUGGGAUCAGUGAGAUUACUUCCCUCCACCUUCAAGGAUUCUAUGGUGUUGUACUUUUUGUGAGAUGUUGCUGUUCUAUGAAAAAACUUGGUGUUCUUGUCCUCAUGUUUCAACUCUUGUAUUCUGGAUCUUUUUCUCCUCCUUAUCUCUUCAUUUUUGACAACUUCAAAAGACAUUACCAAAUUUGUUUUUUUUUUUUUGCAUUAAUUCAUCAUCUGUAAGUAGUCUUUUCUCCUGAAGGAUCUCCCAUUUGGACAAUUGAUCAAGGUUCUCUUCCUUUUGUUGUUUCCAGUUGCUCCUAUUAUUCUUGCUACAUUCCUUCAGUUUCCUUUUUAGAAGUUUCAUCUUUUCAGCUAAGACAAACCCAGCUGUACCAGUAACUACAAAUGAUGACCACCAAAAACUCACUUUCUCCUUCAAGCCUUCAAUCCCCAUCCUCCAGUUUUCAAAUUUGAAGUAAGAUUUCUUGAAGUUCAUGUCUCCACAAGUCAGUAGAACUGGGUUAUGACCAGAUACCAACUUUGGAAGAGUUGAUUGUUUAAUGAGGGUGAAGAAUUCCUCCCUUUGAGAGGAACACAUAACUCUGUCAAUCCUUAAUGUAGUUGUAUGAUUCUCUCCUCUUCUCCAAGUGAAAGACCCUCCAAAUAAAGAAGGGUCUAUGAGCUCCACCUCCUCAGUACAAUCAGAGAAUUCUGACAUAAACCCAUUGAUUGAUGAACAAUUUGUUCUUUCUGAUGGAUAUUUAAUGACAUUAAAGUCACCACACUGCCCACGGCCCUUCACAGAGACUUCUCACGGCUCCCAAUUCACACCAAAGAUCCCUUCUGUCCAUUCUUUUGCACUUAGCAUAGACUUCUCAUGGCUCCCAAUUCACACCAACUUUUGGGAGAGAAUGAGAGCGUAGAAUAAGAGAGAUUUGAGUGUUUAGUCUAAUAUGUUCCCCUAUUUGGUGCUAAAACGCCGUGGUUUAGGCUUAGGAAGAAUAGGGAUAAGACAGAAAUAACCUCAGGAAACUUCUGUCAGAUCAUUCCAUGAGGACCAUCCACGGCUCGUGGAAUGAUCCACGACCCCUGGACUCCCUCUGUGGAACUCAGACGAUUCUGUCAACUUUCAGGUUCUCAUCCAUGAGUCCAUUCCACUGACCAUGGAAUGAUUCACAAGUCGUGAAGUGUUUUUGUGGAAACUUGGUUCAUAAAUCUCACAGUAGGUUGGACCAGGUCUGGAUCAGAGUAGUAGGCUUGCCUCUCCAGCUUUGGUCACAAAAAGUUUUCCGCGAAAUCGGAAACUUGUGUGGUGGCUGGAUCAGAACGGAAGAAGAAACAGAGCUGCGAAACCAUCUUAAAUGGGCUAGGAUGAAGGUGAGAGGGGACAGCGACUCAGUUCCGAAGUCAGUUGAACUGGUCCAUGAAGGUUUAACCUUCAAAGUUACAAUCUGGGUAGAGAUGCCGGUGAAGGUGGUCGCCGAUGGUCAUAGCAAAAUACCCCUAAAGACCCAGCGGUCUGAUGAAGGGACUGUUGGUAUUCAAGAUGAAAGCCUUUUAGGCUUUACAGAGGUGACAGGGCACGUGGGCUCGUCUUUCGAUCCUAAGAUUUUGAAUUGGCCAGCUGUCUCGGCACGUGCCAAGGCACGCGUGGUUGAGGUCCCACUUCCCACCACAUUAAAGAAGACUGAUGCUGCAGUUAAAAAGAAAAAUUUGGGCCCAGAUUUGCAGGCCCAAUUUGUUUCAAUUGGGCUAGUAAGUAAGCCCUCCUCUUUUUUAUUUGACCCAAUCUCAGCCGAGCUUGAGGCUAAUAAUUCCAACUCCUACAUAACGCUGAACUGCGGAGAAGGAGAAGAGGCAGAACAUAAUCGGGAGGAAACUGAAGAAGAAUACUUUCCUGAAAACAGUAAAGAAGAGGAAGUGAGGGUAACUGAAAACCCCCAAACCCUAGAAGAUAGUGCCAUGCAAGUUACUGCUAUAUUGAGAAGUGAAGAUAACAUCUCCGGGUUGACAACAAUUGAAGACGCAGUACCUUUAAAUCAGCAUAGCCCAGGGGAAGGGGAGGAUUCGGAUUUUGAUAUUCCUAUAUGGAUUCAUUAGAACAUCAUCAAAUUCACCAAAGAAUUUGGUGUCGACAUCAAGGGGUGCAAAGAGGAAGCAACAAUGUUAUUCAUGAAGAUAGACAACAUGUGACAAAAAAAAUUGAACAAGGAAGAAAAGAACAGGAGAAUGACCCGGCAGCAAAGGGAACCAACGAAUUGAAGAGCCUCGAGUGCGGAAGUAAUUUCAGAAGCAAUGGGGGGUUACAAUAUUAAUUGUGAUCAAUGACAGUCUCCAUAGUAUCAUGGAAUGUGAGGGGCCUGAAUCAGGCAAGCAAGAGGUGUAUCAUAAAAAAUUUAAUUCAUGAAUGGAAAGCUGAUGUUUAUUGCUUUCAAGAGACAAAAAUUCAAGGAGAUAUCAAGAAUUUGGUUAAAGAUUUGUGGGUGAACAGAGGGGUCAGAUUUUGUCAGCUGGAAGCUAGUGGGACAAGGGGAGGUGUUUUAAUCCUCUGGGAUGAGAAAGUUUGGACAGGAGAAGUAAGUAGUCUGGGGGCCUAUUCCCUAACCUGUAAGUUUACAGGGAAGAACCGCGACUUCACUUGGUGUCUUACAGGCAUCUAUGCUCCAAACAACAGAGUAGAAAGGGAAGAAGUAUGGUGGGAGUUAGGCUCAGCCAGAGGACUUUUUGAUGGGCCUUGGGUAGUAUGUGGGAACUUUAACACUGUCAGAUUCCCUCAGACAAGAGAAACUGCUCUAGAUUCACAAGAGCAAUGUAUGAUCUGUCUGAUUUCAUUGAGGAUAUGAGCCUACAAGAUCCACAUUUGAUAGGGGCAAAUACACUUGGAGGAAGGGGGAGAGACAUGAUGUUGCUGCCAGGCUUGAUAGGUUUUUAUUUUCUGAAGAAUGGAAUGAAGAAUUUAAGAACAUUAAGCACACAACCUUACACAAGGUGACCUCUGAUCACACACCUAUAUUGCUCCAAAGUGGGAACUGGGAACCUAGAAGAUCUUAUUUCAUAUUUGAAAAUUGGUGGCUGCAAACAAAAGGGUUCCUGGAUAGAGUUAAGAUGUGGUGGGACUCUAUAUUCUGUGAAAGGAGGCCGGAUUUUAUCUUAGCUUUCAAAUUGAGAGCCCUAAAAGAUAAAUUGAAGGAAUGGACUAAGACUUCCUAUGGGAACUUAGCAAUGCAAAAACAGAGCAUCCUUGCUAAGCUGGCAGAAUUGGAGGAAAUUCAGGAUCAAAGAGCACUAACAGAAGAUGAGACACUCUCAAAGGCAGAACUCUUUGUUGACUUUGAAAACAUAGCUAAAUGUGAGGAAAUAUCUUAGAGACAAAGAUCAAGGGUUAACUGGCUGAAACAGGGUGACAACAACACCAAGUUUUUCCACAGAUCAGCAAAUGCUCAUAGAAGAUAUAACAAUAUUGAUGAACUAAUGGUGGAUGGGAAAGCAACCAAAAAUCCAGAAGCUAUAAAGAAGGAGAUUGUGGAGUUCUAUCAAAGAUUAUAUACUGAGACUGAGUCAUGGAGACCUGCUGGUGGAUGCAGGGCAAACCACAGAGUUACUCUUGAAGACAACCAAAUGCUACAAAAGGAAUUUGAGGAACAGGAGAUAUGGGAAUGUGUGAAACUUUGUGUUGGAGACAAAGCUCCUGGCCCUGAUGGAUAUACCAUGGCUUUUUAUGUCCAUUGCUGGGAAGUAAUAAAGGGGGAAGUAAUUAGUACCAUCAGGAAUUUCCAUGAAAGAUGUGUUUUUGAAAAAAGCUUCAACUCUACCUAUGUGGCUUUGAUUCCUAAAAAGAUGGGUGCUAAAGAGCUCACGCAUUUUAGACCUAUCAGUUUGAUCAGUAGUGUUUACAAGAUCAUCUCUAAGGUGCUUACAGAUAGGCUAAAAAAUGUUAUACACAAAUUGGUGGACACUCAACAACUGGCUUUCAUCAAAGGAAGGCAAAUAAUGGAUGCCAUCCUCAUGGCAAAUGAACUAGUGGACUCUAGAGUCAGAAGCAAUAUACCUGGCAUUCUAUGCAAGCUAGAUAUACAAAAAACCUAUGACCACUUCAACUGGAAUUUUUUGUUGGAGACCCUCUCCAAAAGAGGAUUUGGAGGCAGAUGGAUAAGAUGGAUGAAGUUCUGCAUAAGCACAGUCAAAUUCUCUGUCUUUAUCAAUGGCUCCCCUACAUGAUUCUUCUCCUCACAGAGAGGCCUAAGGCAAGGAGACCCACUCUCCUUUUCUCUUCAUCAAUGCCUACUUAUAUGAUGUCCCUUUUCCCUAUCCCUGUUGGGGUCAUUGAGAGAUUGGAUGUUCUAAGAAGAAAUUUUCUCUGGGAAGGAAACAGUGAAACCAAGAAAUUCCACCUGGUAAAAUGGGAUGCACUGAUUGGGAGUAAACAAAAAGGGGGUAUGGGGGUGAGGAACUUAAAAUCUCAGAACCAAUGUCUUAUGAUGAAAUGGCUCUGGAGAUUUGCUUCUAGUGAGUUAGCUCUCUGGAAAGAAGUAAUCCAGCUGAAGUAUGAAAUGGCAGAUCAUUGGACCACCAAAAUGGUCACUGAUACUUAUGGAAUCAAUCUUUGGAGGUCCAUCAGAAACCUGUUGCCAAAGCUUAGAGAAAAUUGCAGCAUAAGAACAGAAGAUGGCAGGAAGGUUCUUUUCUGGGAAGACAAAUGGAUAGAUCAAGCCCCCCUAAGGGAUACCUUCAAUGAUAUUUACACCCUAAACCAACAACAAAGGGCCACUGUGGCUGAAGUUUGUUCAAAUCAGGGAUGGAAUUUGAGCUUUAGAAGACCUAAUGACUGAGAGAUUUUGAGGUUAGUUGAGUUCUACAGAAAAUUGGAGCAAUUCAAAGGAACUUCAACUGACCAAGAUAGAUUGGAGUGGAAGGGCCACAAUCAAGGUAGAUUCAGUGUGAAAGGGGCCUAUAAAAAAUUAAACCCUUAUGAUAAUCAGACCUUGAAGAUCUGGAGCAGUUAUGCUAACAUUUCAUACCAUAAGGAUAGGUGGAAAAUUAUACCAACUUGCAUCUGGUGGGCUGCUUGGACAGAAAGAAACCUCAGGUGCCAUCAGAACUAGAGCAACAAUAUCCAGAAGAUGAAGAUGAAGUGCUUAGUUUUGUUUCUAUUUUUGGUGUAAAUUAGAGUAUAUGGAAGAUCUAGAAUCAAUUAUGGAUGUCUUAAAAUCUUUGUAAAUUUUUGUUAAAAGGGUUGAAGAUCUUCUGGAUACUCCACCUUAAUUGUAAUUAGGAAACCUGUAACUUGUUGUGGCAGGUUUCUGAUUUUUUGGAAAUAGAAUACAAGUUGUUACCUUCUCAAAAAAAAAAAAAAAGAGCCCUGGGCAAUGCCAGAACAUACUGCUGAUCUUUUGAGCUGCUGAAUGAGGAGGGGGGGGGGGGGGCAAGACCCAAAAAAGAAGGUCUAUAGUACCUACUUGUGUCUGGUGGGAUAUUUGGAGAGAAAGAAACCUUAGGUGUCAUGAGAAUAUUACUAACACUAUUCAGAAAGUUAAAGAAAAUUGCAUUAACAUGUUAUUUUUUUGGUGUAAAGAAGAUGGUAUAGAAGAAGUAGAACAGUUGGUAGAUUUCCUAGGAUCUAUGUAAUUAUGGAUGUAUGGAUGUAGCUUGUAACUUUUUGGAGGUAGCCAGCAUACCCUUAAUGCUGAAGAAUACAACUUUAACUUUAUCAAAAAAAAGAAAAAGAAUUGAUCUUAAUAUCUAUGUUCAAUUAGAAAUCAUCGGGUUCAGGCCUAAAUGCAUAUGGAGAAUGGUUCAGAUUUUUACAUAGAAGUUGCAAGGUGUUACAAAAGUGGGUCCAUUUGUUCCUGAAUAGCUUCUUUCAAAAAGGCUUCUGCUUCCUCGGUAAAUGUCUUGGUAGAAGAUAUGAUUUCUUGGAACUGAGGUUUAUUAGUUCUUAAGUAAGUACGUAGCUCAACAAGAAGUUUCCUUACCUGUCCAACUUCUGAUGAAUCAAGAUGGCCGUUUGUAUAGAUACAACAAGUUGCUUCUUUCCUAAAGAAAAGGACUCAGUUUGCUCCUCCCUUCCUGUACUGCAUGUACCUUUGCAUAAACCCACAAAAGUUGUACAGAACACAACAAGUGUAUGAGGGCUCAGACGAAGUUACUGGACUUGGAUGUUUGAGGGAUCCCAACUGUCACCUUCCAAGAGAACAACAGAGGUAUGGUGGUUGGGUAGAGAGAGAGAUGGCAGACCUCGUAGUUGUUCCUACUUGACUGCCAAAAGAUUCUUGAAAGUGAAUCGAGUAAUAUAAGCCACUACACUUGGAUUCUCUUGGGUUUUCUGUGAGUCUUUCAAACUCGUUACUUCUGCAUUUAUUUUCUAAAAGAUGUGCGUAUUUUUACCCUUUUUAGCUGUUGUUUUUGAUCUCUGCUUUGAACUUUGAUCUUGAGCUUUUAUCCUAAUAGUUGAAUUCAGUAUUUCAAGUUUGUAGGUGUGAAGUACCACUACACCCGCUCUUUUUAAAAAUAAAUAAAAAAAUUGGUGUGGAUUUAGUGUGUGUGUAUAUAUAUAUAUAGAAGGUUUUACUUUUAUAAGUUUGAGGCAAAGGCAAGGGGUAUAUUAUCCACUGCACGUAAUAUCGAUUCACCCAUUGUUUGAUCUUUUGUUUUUCCUCCUUUAUGUUAAGGGUUUGACAGAAUCCAGUUACAUAUUUGUGUUGCUUAUGGAUGUGACUAUUGGUUUUGAGAAUCCCUUUAUAGUUGUUUGUAAGGCACACACAAUCUAAUUUAACAGAAUCGGAGGUAAGUUGACAGAGCAAUGCGAAAGGAUUACUAGACUGAUUCCAAAUUACAAGUCAGUCAACUAUGAAUUACAAUCCAACGAAUUAAAGAAAAAAAAUUGAAAAUACCUCAAUCAGUCUCCUUCCAUUCAAUUGUAAUUCCUGGAUUGCAAAGGCAGAAAAGAAUUAGAGUUGGGAGAGAAGGGAAAAGAAUGAGAAAGAGGAGAGAAUUUUGAGAGAGAAGGGAUACAAGAACUGUCAAAAACAUGAGCUGCAACUGAAAGUUUGACUCCCUUGAUGGUGGAAGGAAGACAAAAUCAUAACUGUGUAUGUAAUCUAAGAAUUUAAAUCUCAGCUGCUGGAUGUGUUCUUCAGUUUUUUUUUAAAAAACGUCGGAGUUAAAUUGGACCUUUCCCCUUAUAAACGACACAAUUCCCUUUCUAUUAAUUACUAACUGCAGUUAAUGACCAUUUAAAUUGCUUACACCUAACAUUGUUCAAUCAAUGUUGGUUCUUCUUAUUGUUAAAAAUGAAAUUCGUCCUUUAUGUGUUUCCUUUCUUAUCUGGUUUCCUACUACUUUAUUUAGGGAGUGUACAGUGGUCAAUAUGUGUGGAAUACUAAUGUGGAUACUUGGUUGAAUUGUCAAGUUGUGUGCAAGUUAGCCUAGUGCCAUGUUAUUGAAAAAGAAAUGAGAAGGGUGUGAAUUAGAAUUGCAAUCACUUGACAAUGGGUUCGGCCGUGUUGAGUCCGCAACCCCUUGCCUUGUUUACAAAUUUUCCUAUGGCGAUGGAUGGUUCUAAUGAAUAAGUAAUAGUUUUUCCUUGGCUUUUAUAUUAUCCUUUUGACAAUUGUCAAUGUGAAAAUACAUACAAUGUCACCUAUAUAUUUUGGCAAGUAUUGUUUCAAGUUUUUUUUCUUUCUAAUAUUGCCUUUUUUUCUAGCAGGUCUCGGGGUUCUCAUGAGUUAAAGUGAAGAGGAGAUGCAGUGAAUGACUUGUCUAUAGAGGUACUAAGAGUAAUAACUUUCUUGCAUUACAUGGUGGGGUUUGUGUUUUUUCCUGUAACUAGUGCAAGAAAAUUUAUUUUGGUUGAUAAGCCAAUAUGGUGAGUAACUGUUUGCUUAGAUUGGGCAAUGCGUUUAAGCUGGGACUCCAGAAUCCAUUUUGGGGGCAGAAAGCAGGCUUGGAGAUUAUGUAGAAAUUUCGGUUGCCCAACAGAGAAUGUGGUUUCGCAAUUCGAAAUUCUUCUAUUCUGUGGCAUCUGCAGGAUGAACUGACUUGCAUGUGCUUGAAGCGCCUGCAACUUUAGCAGCAGCAAAGGCAAAUUUGUUUGUAAUAGACCAGAGAAAGAACUUUUCAAUAGUUGGUGCCCUUUCUCGUGCAUUUGCUAUACCAUCAUUAUCAGGGCCUGCAUUUUAGGUCUGCGGCGCGGCUAUCUCAUUGAUCUGCUGAUAUCUGAGCCUAAUCAAGGUUCAUUAGACAUUGAUUGUCAGAAAGCAGUUACAGCUAUUUGCAGUUCAAUAAUUUUUCUAUGUUCCUCAAGUAUAAUGACCUCAAGGCAUCACACAUCUGCUGGCACUGCCCCUCAUCUGUCCUUUGUUAAAUCUAUCUGUGAGGUACAGCUUGGAAUUUCAGCAGAUACUUCUGAAGAGUAUGUUUCCUGAACUUUGAUGUUCUUAUUAACUAAAUCAAGUUACAAUUGCUGCAGCAUUAUCUUGUAUAAAUGACACGUAAUUGGUUUAGUGUUAUUGAAUUUCUCUGAUUUAUAAAAGAAUAACAAAUAUCAAGUUUUUGUACAAAAAUUUGCAGCCUCUAAUUUAGAGGAGAAGGGUAGUGAAGAGGGCCCCUUCUCAAACCCUGUGCUGCUGGCCUUCGGAAAUUUUGCAGUUAUCAAAAACAAGUUCGCACUAGCUGCUGUCAUAUAAAUCACUACAUAUAAUGUGCUGAAUUUCUGAAGUUGAUGAUCCCUCUCUUGCUGUAUUUUAAAAGUGCCUAGCUAAUGUAGGGGGGGAAUGAAAUUUGCUAUUAGUUGGAGAUUUCCAUUAAGGCCUAAUUUGCAUGUGUAGAACUGAAUUGAUGAUUCCAUGGUUUCAUUUAUCACUUUUCUGAUCACUGGAAAAUUAUUUAGUGUAAUAGCUAGGUAUUUUCUAAAAGUGAUUGACAGCUCAACUCAUUAUGUAGCUCACUUUUGGUAUUGUUAUCUUUCUGUUACUAGUAGUCUUGUGAUUUGUGAGUAUUCUCAACUUCCCCCUGCAGUCAUGGCAAAAUAGCCUUCACUUUUCUGUUUCUAAGGUCAAGUGUUCAAUUACAGUGUCAUGUUUUUUCUGCUGGUCAGGCCCCCCUGAGGAACACAGGCUUACUUGCUUGCAUACACCCUCCGUUGCAUUUGAUUGACAGGAAAGCUAGGAGGAUAAGUGAUUUUUAAUUUAUUGGCUCUUCGUGCUUUUCAAUCAAGUGACUAACAGGAAAGUUCUAGACUGCAUUUGGUAUCUUUCCCACAGAAAAGGUCUCCCAGAAAGUAAACUUUCAAAACUAAGGAGGAGAAAGAGAAAAAUUGUAGACUAACUACUCACUGUAUUUGUAUUUAAUUAUGUGAUUUUUAAUUUAUUGGCUCUUCGUGUUUUUAAUUAAGUGAUGAGUGAUGACUGGCAGGAAGGUUCUAGACUGCAUUUGGUAUCUAUCCCACAGAAAAGGUCUCCCAGAAAGUAAACUUUCAAAACUAAGGAGGAGAAAGAGAAAAAUUGUAGAGUAACUACUCACUGUAUUUGUAUUUGAUUAUGUGAGAAAUACAAUAGAGAAAAUAUUAUUAAGAUGCAUUGACUACAUUAUUACAUUGAGCCCUAUUUAUAGACACUACAUUAUAGUCCUUUUCCAUGUAGGAUCUAUUCCUAUUGCUAUUCUAACAAUCCCUCUCAAAUUGGUGCAUAUAAGUCAUAUGUACCAAGCUUGUUAUAGAUGUAACUCAUACGAGAACCAGUGAGAGACUUGGUGAAAAUAUUUGCAAGUUGAUCAGUUGACUUCACAAAUUUUGUAAUAAUAUAUCCCGAGAGUAUCUUUUUUUUUUGGACGAAGUGACUGUCAACAAUGUGCUUAGUCCUCUCAUGAAAUGCAAGAUGUAAUGCUAUAUGAAGGGCCACUUGAUAUCACACACAUGUUCCAUCUAAUUGAUUUCUCCAAACUUAAUUCCCUAAGCAACUGUUUGAUCCAAACUAGCUCACAAGUUGCUACAACCAUUGUUUGAUAUUUUGCUUCUGCACUAGAUCGAGCAACCACAUUAUGCUUCUUUCUUCUCGGAUACCAAAUUCCUUCUAUUAAAACGUAAUAUCCAGAUGUAGAACAUCUAUUCGAAGGUGAUCUUGCCAUCAACAUUUGUAUAUUCAACGCUCUGCUCAUGACCUUGAUCCUCGAAGAGUAGUCCUUUGUUUGGAGCUAACUUUAUUUAUCGUCAAAUGCGGACAACUGCAUCCUAAUGAUUGUCGCAGAGGAGAAUUCGUAAACUCACUUACACCACUCACAAGAACAAAAAUGUCAAGUUUAGUCAUAGUGAGAUAAUUCAUCUUACCAACUAGCUGCCUAUAGCUACCAAGACCACUGAGUGGCUUCUCUUGUCCUGACAAUAGUUUAGCAUCCGAUCUAUAGGAAUGCCACUGGGUACAUCCCAUUGUUCCUAUUUCCUCAACUUUGACUGCAUAAACCCAACGACAACCAAUAGUAGAUUUACUUAAAAGAAGAGGAACAAGCUCCUAUGUAUCACUUGUAUAUAAAGCAAACAUCUCAUUAAUCAUAGCCUAUCGCUAUCUUGGAUGAGAAGUGCUUCACCAAUAGAUUUAGAGAUAGAACAGAGGACAAAGAUGACUCAAAGGCAUAUUGGGGUGAUGAUAGAAGAUGGUUAGUUUAGAAAGUAUAAUGGGGGUUAAUAUUACGAGUGGAUAAUAUACCUUUCUGAUGUGCAAUCAGUUGAUUAAGAGGAGACAAGUCGCAGUAGGUUCAGGGUUUUGUGUAAGGUGUGAAUCAUCUAGACCUGAUGCUGGAUGUGAACGAUGAUGAUAAGUCAGGAGUGGUGGUACUAUGGCUUGAAAUGUAAAAGUAACGGUAGAUUCCUUAAAGUCAAUAUAGGUAAGACCUCAGAGAUAUUAGGACGAUAAGAAGAAGAUGCAAAGUAAGGUGGAGACUAAAAAAAUGUGACAUCACAUUACAUUAGGUAAUGAGGAAGAUUACGUGAAUAGAAAUGAUUACCCUUUUGAACCCAAGAAUAAUCAAGAAAGACAUGUUGAGGUCUAAUUUAUCUUUCUUGGGGCUAAGUUGUGAACAAAACAUGUGCUCCCAUUAACAUUAGGGGAAAAAGAGUACAGAGGUGGCUGAGGAAACAAUAAUGAAUAAGGGAUUCGGUUCUUAAUGGAAGAUGAGGGCAUCCGAUCAAUUAAGUAGCAAGAUGUGAGAACUGUAUCACCUCGAAAAUGCAGCGGAACAUGAGGUUGGAUGAGAAGAGUGUGAGAAGUCUUAAUGAGGUAGUGAAAAGUGACAAACGAACAAUGGUGAUAUUUCAGGUAGAAAAAGUAAACAACUAAUAGUUGAGGUGUGUUUCGAUGAACAUUUGGUGAUAGUUUGGGUAGGAAAUUUUGAAACCUGAUAGUUCAGGUAUGAAACUCAAAAAAUCAAGAUACUUAAGGUGUGUUUUUGAUGCUUAACUCUUUAUAUUUUGAAUCCUCAUAGCAAAAGUACCGGCUCUGCCACUUAUCACACGUUUUGAAAACUUUAUAGCAACAUAUUAGAACUCAUUCAUCAAAAUUUUAAAAAACCAAUCAACAAUUGUUUCCCUUAAAUAAAUCCCCAAAAUCAAAAUUAAUGUAAAAUUGAGCAAAAGAAAAGAAAUUGGGUAUAAAUAAAAUGAGAAUAUGCCCGACAUCAUCGCGGUAGAGGCUGUUUAUAAGGACAUCGCUACGGAUAUUCAAGAAGUAUAUAUCUUUGGGCUCGUCUUGCAUGGCUACUAAUUAGCAUGCGAUCCAAUUUUAAAAAAAGUUGAUCGAUUAAAUCAGAUUAAAAUGAGAUUUUGUUUUAAAAAAACAAUGAGAUUUCUAAGGGUUUUCAGUGCUUUGGAAGAAAAAGAUUGAGAAUAUAUGAAAUAAAACUGUUGAGAUCUUUAUUUGUGAUUUUUGAAUUUGUGUAUUAGGAAUAUUUAAAAGUACUCAUCCCCAUAUUUUAUAGUUCAUUUUCUCACUAUGGAACAUUACAAUGGAGUGGUAAGUAAUUCUUCAUUCUUAAUUAGAUGUUUUUCAGUUUGAGCUUGAGAUACUAAGAUACUGAGUCAUCUUUGGUAGGGAGUUCAUCCUCAAAGUGGGACUUCUCGAUAUGAAUGUGAAUUAAUUGGGCCCACAACGGAUACUGAACAACCCUUCAAGGUGGCCCAGUUGGGCUUGGGACUUCCAUGUUGGAGGUCUCAAGUUCGAAACCCCUUGCCAGCGAAAGCAAGGGUUUGCUUUCUGGAGCUCGCCGCACUAGGCUUGCUUAGUACAGUUACCUCUCAUGUGUGGUUUGCAAGCUAUUGCAUAAGACCGGGGGUUUUACUCUGUGUGCACCCAAAGGGUAGUGGCUGUGGAUUUACCUUGUCAUCAAAAAGAAAAAAAUGGAUACCGAACACCGGGUGAGAAACAAAAAAAACUUCAUUUUUUCAUUUUUAUACUUUUAACUUUUAAGAAUAUUUAAUAUGAAUUAUUUUCUCCCUCAAAUUAACUUUAGAACUACACCCUUAGUUGUAAUUUAUGUGAGUUAUUAUUAUUGAGCACGGAAUUGAAAAAAAAAAUCUUUUAAUUUUAUGGUCUUAAAUAAAUCAUAAAAAGUUAUGUUAUUUUAAAUUAUUUCAAUAAAGAUAAAUGAGAAGUUUAAACUUAAAUUAUUAUUAUUAUUAAAUAUGUCAUAUUCUUAGAGACGGAUUAAAAAAGAAAGAGCGUCAUAAAUUAGAUCGGAAGAAAUACUAUUUUAAUGUUUUUUUGGUCGAAAUUUUAGUGUUUUCUUUUCUUGUGAAAAUGUGGUACUAUAUGAUUUGAAUUUACAUCUUACUAAAAAUAAAUAAAAAAUUUACAUCUUACUGAUUGUGUUCAUUCAAAUAUCAUCACAUAAUAUGACAUGAAAAAACUAAAAAGUAGUAUGCGAACUUUAAAGCUUGACCUCAUGAGAACUUUCAAUCAUUUCCAUGUCAAUUGUAACAUGGUUAAAUCUUUCAAUGCUUACUUUAUAGCUCUCAUUCCUAAAAGAAGAGGAGCUAUCGAACUCAAAGAUUUCAGGCCUAUCAGCCUUAUGCAGCAUCUACAAGCUUGUGUCGAAAGUGUUAACUGAAAGGCUAAUAAAGGUGACUGGGGGACUAGUUUCAGGUUUACCAAAAUGCUUCCAUUGAAGGCAGGCAGAUCACUGACAGCCCUUAUUGCUAAUGAGGUUUUGCAUUGGAGGCAAAAAUGUGGAGAACUUGGACUUCUUUUUAAACUUGACAUAGAGAAGGCUUUUGACAAGCUAAACUGGCAAUACCUCAUCUCAACCCUUAGAUAAAUUGCAUUUGGAGAGAGAUGGAUCAAAUACAGCUUUAUAACAGUGAAGUACUCAGUUCUUGUCAACAGAAGUCCUGUAGGCUUUUAUUUGCUGAUGACACCCUCAUAUUUUGUGGAGCAGAAAAAUCUCAAGUUCAGUACCUUAAUCUCACUUUGAUGCUUUUUCAAGCUAUCUCAGGUCUUCACAUUAACAUGCCCAAGAACGUUAUCUACCCUGUUAACGUGGUUCCUGAUUUGGAAGAGAUGGCAGAUAUCAUGUACUGCAACACUGGUUCUUUCCCUACUACCUACCUAGGUCUUCCUUUGGGUGCUAGUCAGAGAUCAACUGAAAUUUGGAGUGUAGUCAUUGAGAAGUUAGAAAAUACAAGCAUCUUGGCAGCAACAAUACCUCUCUUAUUGGACAGGGUAACACUCAUUAAUAGUGUUUUGGAUAGCAUUCUACUUCAUGUCCCUAUUUCCUAUUCCAGUCAAGAUGCAGAAACACUUGAUAAGAUAAGGAGAUCUUUCCUAUAGGAAGGCAACAGCCUUAACCACAAUAAUCACUUAAUCAAAUGGGACAAAGUCAUUCUUCCCAAAUCUCUUGGGGGACCUUGUGCUUAAAGAUUUGGCUCUCCAGAGUAAACAUAUGUUGAUGAAAUGGCAUUGGAGGUAUAAUCAGGAGAAUGCGGACCUUUGGAAGGAGAUAGUCCAAGCAAAGUAUCGGGCGACUAGUCAUUGGUGUACCAAUGUUUCGAGUUCUCCUUAUGGUACUGGAUUAUGAUGGAGUAUCAGGAAACUCUGGGAAGGCUUUUCUUGCAACACUUCUCUUCAGCAGGGCAAUGAAGCUCACAUUCAAUUCUGGAAAGAUAAGUGGCGUGGGCACACUAAACUGCAGGAUGCCUUCCCAAGAUUAUUUCUGAUUGCAACUAAUCCAGAUUCCACCAUUGAUCAAAAUUGGUAGAACAGCACAUGGAGUCUGAAGCAGAGAAGGAAUCUAAAUAAUAGGGAGAUGGAUUUGCUAACAAUGCUUGGAAACCUUCAGGGUAGCUCAGUCAACCUUCAGCACAAAGACAAAGUCUCAAGUGGGGCACUAGUAGGAAUGACAAUUACUCAGUCAAAUCAAGUUACUUCCAGUUAAGUUCCAAGAAGGACUUGAUUUGACCAAUGACCUUGGAGUAUGGAGAACUAAAUUACCACCAAACGUUAAAUGGUUUGGUUGGAUCACAUUAAAAGGAUCAUGCUUAAACCAAGAUAAUCUUAUGAGGAGAAAGUUUUAAAUAUCUAACAGAUACUUCUGAAUCAAUCAACCACCUAUUUCUUUAUUGCCCAUUUGCUGCAGAUAUAUGGUGCAUGUUUAUAACACUUUUUGGGUUACAUUGUUCUAUGACAUACAGUAUUAGGGAUGCUUUUGUAAAUUGGUGUACUUGGAAAGUUGGGAAGUCCUUCCAAAGGAUAUGGUCUUUGAUUCCAGCUUGUAUUUGUGGUGCAUUUGGACAGAAAGGAAUCAAAGAUGUUUUGAUGGCAUUUCAAUAGUCGACCACGCUCUCAAAAUCAAAUGUUUAGUUAAUCUUUUUAGCUGGGUUAAUUUUACCCCUGUAUAUAACCCUGACUCCUUUUUGGAAUUCAUCAGCUCCUUAGUGUUACAAUAGCUUUUGUCAAUUGUUUUAGGCUGAUAAUUCCAUCUCUUUUGUAACCUAUGCAUCUUCUAAUGACUUAUUUCAUCAAGAAUCAAUAUUUUUUCAUACCUUGUUAGGAAUCAUUACCAAAAAAUGUGAUCCUACAUUUGACAAAGUUAACGAGAUUUGAGUAAUUCACUAUCAACAUUAUUGAAUUAGAAAGAAAGAAAGAAAGAAGAUAGAACAAAUUUAACUCAACUAUACGUUUCCAGUCAAAUUUUUCUUUGUUAGUAGUAUCUGUAUCAAUGUACUGAAAGAGUCCAUAACAAUAAGUGAAGUUUGGUAUGAAUGUUGUGAUACUUUUGAGGUCUCAGUUCAUAUGGCUCAUUUUGUUCUCUUUACAGAAUUGCUGGCAAAGAGUGAAGGUAAGUUGAGGAUCAUAUUAAUAAUAGCUGCCUCAUGGUGUCAAAAAGAGGAUAGUGAUUUUAUAUGCAGCCAUGAAGAAUCAAUUGGUGUAGCUCAUGGUAUUUAGCAGAGGCUGCAAUGAUGUGGUAUUUGGGGAUGUACAUUUAUUUAUUUAUUAAAUACGGAUAGUUUAAUAAAGGGAAAAUUGUACAUAAUGGCAAACUAUUAAUUCAAAUUAAAUGGUAUAAUCACACUUUGAUUUAAUUGUGUCUUGUAGCAAACUGUUUGCCAGCGCCUCUCUCCCUCAAACUCUGUGCUCGCCUCUCUUGCUUUAUACAACAGAAGUGUAUAAAUUGCGUUUCUGUUUGUAUAAAGCGAGAGAAAAUUGUAUAUACACAUGCAAAUACAUAUAUAUUCGUCCUAUACACUUAUAAUUAUACAAUAAAAAUAUUCCCCUGCCCAGUUCUCUUUUGUCUUUCUCUCUUUCUCGUUUUAUACAACAGAAUUGUAUAAAUUGCGUUUCUGUUUGUAUAAAGCGCGAGAAAAUUGUAUAUACACAUGCAAAUACAUAUAUAUUUGUCCUAUACACUUAUAAUUAUACAAUAAAAAUAUUUCCCUGCCCAGUUUUAUGUUUGUAUAAUGUAUAAUUUAUGUUUGUCAACGAUUUAUACAAACGAGAGGCUAACAACAAUUUAUACAAAUGGCUUGCCAGCGAAAUUAUACAAUUCUUAAGAGGAGCCAACGAAUUAUACAAUUGCUUCUUUUUGUAUAUAUGUAUAGCGAAAUAGACAGUUUUCAAUUGUAUAUGUAUAGCGAAUUAUACAUAUAUAUAUAUGCUAUGGAGCGCAAUUAUGCAAACUUUGCUAUAACAUACAAAUAUGAUUUUUUUGUUUACUAUAUGUGAAAGUUGCUCUUUAAUAAAUAGUUUAAUAAACUACAUAUUAUAUUUUAUUAAUUUCUUGAUGGACCUAAUUUUUGUUAAGAUGCCCCAAUUUUGCUUUAAAAAUCAAUUUCUCCCCUCAACUUUGAACAAUCAUCAAACUCCCCUCUUUAUCCUAUGCAUUCUCCAUUUUACCCUUGUUAUAUCAUAUAUAUGUGUUACCUUUUUAUGUUAUGUAUAUAAUUUAUUUUUCAGCCUACACAUUUUUAUAACUUUUACAUUAACAUUAUAAGUAGAAUAAUAUUUUUAUGAAUUUGUCAUUGAAUUUAAUAUUAUUUUUAUGACCGUUAUUUCAAUAUAAUAUGCAUUAAGCAGUGUGUAUAUGUAUGUGUGUAUACUUUUGUCUUUCUCUACUUUCUACUUCAUUCGUUUGAUAUAUUACUUGACCUCUUCUUGAUAUGACUUUCCUUAAAAAAUUUAAUUAGAUGUGUAUUUUACUAAACUAACAUUAUUAAUAAUGCUUUAAAAUUUUAGAUUUGAUUCCUACUAUUUUAUGCAAUUAUUUAAUAUAAAGGGUAGAAAUAAAAAGUAUAACAAAAUUCUUUUUAUUCAAUAAUUGGACAAGUAAAUCAAAACAACUAUUUUUAGAGUGAGGGUCAAGUAAUAUAACGGGGAAUUCUCUAUUGUUUAUAUAAAUAAAUAAGUUUUGAUUGACAUUAAUGGAGUAUUACAUAAAUUAUAGUUUAAAAUAAUUUAAAUUUUCAAAAAGUCUUUGAAAGUUUUGACCUUAAUUAAAUUAAUUAUUUUAUAUAUCCUACAUUGAAUAUAUUUGUAUAGUUAUCAUUCUCUGUUAUUUUUGCUUGCGUAAAUAAAAUAGUUUUGAUUAUUAUUAAUAAAAACAAUUUUUCAUUAUGUGAAUUUACUUCAUUAUAAAAUAUCAUUAACUCAUAUACUUAAUUAAUAUUUAUCAUUUUUUUGUCCAAAAAAAUAAUGUUUAUGCUUUUAUGAAAAGCUUGUUACAUGAAUUCAAAAAAAAAUGUUUUUUAAAGAAGUAAAAAAGAAUUGAUAGAUUAACCAAAUCUUUUCGAUAAGGUUCUUCCUUUGAACGCUUUUUCUAUGGUGACAUCUGACGGCGGCCAACCCUCUUCUGGGGUUGGUCUUCAACUUUCAAAUUGUGAUUUCCCUCUUCUUCCCUCAAUUCAAUAUGCUUCAAUCUUGAACCCUACUUUACCAAAGGGAAAAUCAUUUGUUGAUUCAGUGAAAACAAAUUUUGAGAUGGAUAUUAUUGAAGACAAAUCAUUACUAAAAGAUAUUACAUAUGUAGAAGGAGUGCCACAAGUCAACUGGACUGAGCAGGAAGUGAUAAAGAUGACUUGUAUUGAGAAACUCAAAUUCACUGUAAUUGGAAAAUUCUCAUAUGAAUGGACAGAUCUUGACGAAUUGAGACGAAUUAUUCCUCAACAAUGUGAAUUAAAAGGGGAGUGUGUAAUAGGAUUGCUACGUAGCAAGCAUAUUCUAAUUAGACUGACUAAACAAGAGGACUAUGUCAGCAUGAUCUUGAAAGGGGUUUUCUAUAUAAAUUGUAGUGAUGGGUAUUUCUACUUGAUGUGUACCCUAAUCUAUGAUUCUAGAUUCAAGGUAUCUGAGGAGACAACUAUGGCUAUGACAUGGAUUUCAUUCCCUAAUCUAUUGCCAACUUUCUUUGUUAAGGAAGUGUUGUUUUCAAUUGCUUCGGCAGUUGGUAAACCAAUCCACUUGGAUCAAGCAACGAUAAAAAAGACAAGACCUAGUUGUGUGUGAAGGUGCUGGUGGAUCUCAAAGGCAAAUUCCCAAAUUCGGUGCAGAUGAAAAUUGAAACUCCAAAAAUGGGUGAGAUAAAGUUAAAUAUGAUAAAAAAUCAAUAUGAUUAUGUAUUGAAAUAUUGCCUUGAGUGCAAGAUGCAAGGGCACAAUAAAGAUAACUGUAAAACAGGGGAAAUGGCUAGAAGAAAGGAAGAACCAGCAAAACAGGGGAGCAAAAUCAGUGUAAACAAGAGCAACAUUCUCUAUUACAAAAAGGGAAUGCUAGAAUACUUACAAGUGGAAAAGUUGUUGGAGAUCCGGGUAACUGGAAUGUAGUCAAAGAUAAAAGAGGAGCCAAUAUUGAAAAAAAAAUGCACCCAUCACUGAGGUGGGUAAUAAAUUUGAUGCACUCACAAGAGAAGACGAUACUAACAAAGGGGAGGAGAUCAAUAAGAAUAAAAUAGUCAACACAGAAGAAAACAAAGGCGGAUCAACAAAAGAUUUGGUUACAAAUUCCUUUGGUCUAGUAUUACAAGGUGAAAAACAAAUGGAAGGAGUGCCCAUAAUUAAAUUUGGUGAUCAUAUUGCUACUGAAGUUAGUGUGCAAGAGUGUCAUGACAAGGUGAAACCUAUAAGUAUACACAACAAUCCGAUAAGCAUAAGUUCGCACAGAAAAGGCAGUAAUUCAAGAGAGCAAAUGGAACUUCUGAAGACUAUAAAUAUUCUUGUGAAUGAUUCAGAAUCUUAUUGUGCGAAUUCCAAGAGCCCUGCAAAAUAACCAAAAGAUCAGUUAAAUCAACAAGUGAGUGACAUGAGGAUGGAAAAAGAGACAGUCAGUAGAGGUGAUCAGCUAGCAAAUCAGAGAAUUCAAAUGGAGAUACCUCAAUCUCCGAAUGAGGUACGUCAUGAUAUCCUCAUACACAAAGAGUCAGAAGUUGAGCAGCUGCAAUCAAAUGACAGUCAAUCAGAGGCAAAAAAUGAUCACAUUUAUGGAGAAGCGGAUAUUUCUCCCAGACGUAUUAAAGAAAUGAAGUCUAAAAGCAUGGUAGUGGAGAUUCUAAUCAUCCCAUCAGAUCUUAGCUCAAAAGGCAGGUGACUAACAAACAACAAUGUUCCUUAUGAAAGCACGCAUAUGGAAUAUUAGGCCCGUGAGGACUCAAAAUGCUUUUCAAAGAGUCCAGAUGCUACAUGGCUUUUAUAAAUUCAAUUUUGUUGCGUUGAUGGAGCCAUUUCAGCAUGUAAGAUGUUUGAAUAGAUUUAACAGAAGGCUUAGAAUGACAAAAGGGUAUGCAAAUAAUAAUGGGAAGAUUAGGUUAUUUGUUAAUCAUGGAUUCGAUGUAGUAGAAAUGAGAAACUCUGAACAACAACACAGAUAAGAAAUUUAGCCACUGAUUUUAUUAUGGUUGUUACUAUUAUCUAUGCUAAAUAUGACCCAAAUUAGAGACUAGAGCUUUGGGAGGAUAUAACUCAACUUGCUGAUGGUAUGGAUCACCCAUGGAUCGUAAGUGGAGAUUUCAAUGUGGUUCUUCAUUGGGGGAGAAAAAAUUGGUGGUUUACCAGUAUUGGGGGUUGAUGUGGAAGACUUUCAAAAUUGUAUAGAAUCAAAUGAAUUGUAUCAAGUUCAAUUCAAAGGCAGUCCUUUCACGUGGUGGAAUGAUAAAGUAGACAGUGCUUGCAUAUUUGAGAGACUAGACAUAAUUUUGAUGAAUUAUGUGUUUCAUGGUCAAUUCAAUUUUACAAAAGUGGAGCAUCUUCCAAGAACUGGCUCGGAUCAUGCGCCGCUUCUAUUUUCAUGUGAAAACAUGGAAACAAGGAUCAUUAAACCUUUUAGGUUCUUGAAUUUUUGGACUGAGCAUAGGGGAUUUAAAGAGGUUGUCAGAUUGAAUUGGGAUGAUGAAAUAUCUGUAAAUCCUUUUUUAGAUUUCUUGAGGAAGAUAAAAAAGGUAAAAUAUGCUCUUUCUUUUUGGAGCAAGGAUACCUUUGGAGAUAUCUUUCAGCAGAUCAUUAUCCGAGAGGAAAUAGCUAGAAUAAAGGAAAAAACACUUUGAAGAGUAUCCUUCUCCAGCCCCCAAGGCCUAGCUCAAGUGGCAAAAGGUGGAGGAUUUGUGGCUUAGGUCGCAGGUUCAAGCCCCACACCAUGCAAAGUGAAGCCCGGUAUUUAAGUGGAGAAGGGUAGAGGGGCGGGCCCAUUAUCCACCGAGUUUAGAAGGCUGUGAUUGGUCCAAAGGGCGGGUCACAGACGGAUUUCUCGGUUAUCAAAAAAAAAAAGAUUCAACCCAAAUCAAAUUUGUUUGGUUCAAAAUGGAUUUGAUAAUGAGUUAUAGAACAUGUCAAAACCUAAUACAAUUCAAUUUUUACUAAGUUUUAAUUAUUUUAUUUAUUGUUUUACGAUGUUUAGUGCCUAAUAAUUUUUUUUUGUAAUUAUAACUAUAGAUAACAUAUCAAAUUUAAAAAUAUUUUGAAAGAUUUCUCUCGAGUCAAUUAGGGUUACAUAUCAACCUAAUUGUUAAUAGAUUGAUUUAAAAUAGGUUAAGCAAAUAAAUGUGUAAGUCAAUAACCCACUCAAACUUAAACGUAUUGGACGAAUUGGAUUUGAUUUUGUCCUUCCUAAUUAGGGGGUAGAACACUCCUUAUUUUCUAGCAAGGAGUAAUUUCUUAAAUGGUGUGCUUAAGCUAAAAUCAUUAUCCUUCUCCAGAAAUCAGAGAUAUUAUGCAAAGGGCCAAAGCUAAAUAUUCUAGAUAUCUUCACAUUGAGGAGAAAUUUUGGCAACAACAGGCAAGGUAUGACUAGUUUGAAAGUGGGGAUAGAAAUUCAAGAUUCUUUCAUAGCUUGGUAAAAGGAAGAAGACAAAGAAUGAGAGUAUCUAGAGUGCAAAAUUCACAAGGGCGGUGGCUAGAAAACAAGUAUGAAAUUGCUAAUGAGGCAGUAAGUUAUUUCCAGAGUCAAUUCCACCAAGACAGGGAUGAAACAAACGUUACUCUUCUGGAUCACAUUCCAGUGUUGAUCACUAAAGAGGAGAAUACUGAAUUGGGGUCUGUACCAAAUGAAGAAAAAGUGAAGAAUGCAGUAUAUAAGCUUAAUGUUGAUAGUUCUAGUGGGCCAGAUGGACUUAAAGGUAAAUUCUAUCAAGUGUGUUGGGACAUCAUUGGUAAAGAUAUUUGUAGAAUGGUGCAUGAAUUUUGUUUUGGAAGUUCUUUACCUAAGUCCAUUACUCACACUAAUUUGAUACUUAUAUCGAAAAAGGAUAACAUUCAGUCCUUUUCGGACAUGAGACCUAUUAGUCUGAGUAACUUUAUUAAGAAGAUUCUAUCCAGGAUAAUACAUGAUAGACUGAAAAAGGUUCUUCCAAGAUUGAUUUCUUCUAAUCAGUUUGGCUUUGUUAAGGGUAGAAGCGUUAUUGAGAAUGUCUUGCAGGACCAGGAACUCGUCACAUAUAUUACUAAGAGAGGAAAACCUGAAAAUGUGAUAAUUAAGUUGGAUAUGUCUAAGGCUUAUGAUAAGGUCUCUUGGUUCUUCCUAAUGAAAGUGCUAAGAAAAAUGGUUUUUUCUAAUAGAGUGUUGAUUUGAUUUGGAGGCUACUUGCAAACAACUACUACUCAGUCCUUCUUAAUGGCCAAUCACAUGGUUUUUUUCAUUCUACAAGGGGUGUUAAACAAGGAGAUUCAUUAUCUCCAGCUUUAUUUAUAAUCUCAGUCGAGGUUCUAUCUAGAGCUCUCAAUACACUUUUUGAAGAUCCCCAAUAUGUUGGUUAUGGGUUGCCAAAGUGGAGUGGCAACAUUAAUCAUUUAGCAUUUGUAGAUGACACAAUUAUUUUUACUUCUUCUAAUGGCUAUUAUGGAGAAAAUUAUGUCAAUUCUACAAGACUAUGAGAAACAAUCAGGUUAGAAGAUUAACAAGGAAAAGAGUUCUUAUUAUCUUCACCAGAAUGCAGCAAUAACAAUGGCUAAUCAGAUAGAGCAUAUUACUGGUAUGGUACGAGGAUAUUUCCCUAUGAAAUAUCUAGGAUGCCUCAUUACUCAUGCUAGGAAAAUAAAGGAGCAUUAUUCAGAAUUGUUUGAUCAGAUUAAAGGUAUGCUACAGAGUUGGAAAGGUAGAAUGCUUUCAUAUGGGGUUAAGGAAGUAUUCAUUAUAAGUGUUCUUCAAAGCAUUCCCAUAUAUGUACUUUCUUUUCUUACUCGUCCAAUGUGUGUGAUAAAAGAAUUCAUAGAAUUUUUGCUAAAUUCUACUGGAGCAAUGAGGAAAAUAGCAGAAAUAAACAUUGGUCCAAAUGGAUAAAUGUUUGUCUUCCUAAAAUUGAAGAAGGUUUGGGAUUUAGGUCUAUUUUUGAUGUAUCAAAGGCUAUGUAUGCAAAAAUUUGGUGGAAUUUCAUAACACAGAAUACAAUAUUGUCUAACUUUACGUGGACUAAGUAUUGUAAGAAGCAAAUUCCUGCACUAGUUCAAUGGAAAUGAGGUUCCCAAAUAUGGAAGCACAUGUUGGAAAAUAGGGAUCUUUUGGAAAAACAUAUGUGGUGGGAACCUAGAGGAGGCACUUGUGCUAUAUGGUAUGACAACUGGUCUAACUUGGGUCCCCUACAUAUACAUGAUUCAGAUGUGCACACUUGUUAUCCUAUGAAAGAUACUGCUGAAUUUUUAAAGGAGGGGGGAUGGGACUAUACGUUAAUGAGAGAUUUUGUGCCUGAAUAUGUGGUGGACCAUGUUCACGCAAAUCUCUAUCAUGCGUAUCUCAGUAAUAAAGUUGAUAAAACUUGGUGGACUGAAAUUAGUAAUGGUAAAUUGUUAUGCCCCCCUAACCAGUCGUACUCUGACCAGGCUUCGAAAAACUUCGAGAUCACCGAGUUUCUCGGGAAUCGAGGGGUCAAGAGCCUAAUCAGGUCUAGUAAAAUCAGUUUGGGGACUUUUGAGGAAAAAGAAAGACAAAGUUGAAGACAUGGAAAAAUUAUGGAUAAAAGAAAUUCCAUUCAAAGUCUCAUUCUUAAUGUGGAGGACUUGGUUUGGAAAGAUCUCUGUGGCAUCUUUAAAGCAUAGAUGGAAUUCAGAUUAUUAAAGUGAUUGUAGAUGUUGUGUUAUUCUUGUAGAAGAGACUAUUGAACAUCUCUUUCUUAAUGGAGAAGUAGCUAUCCGAAUAUGGAAAUAUUUUAGGUAUGCAUCAGGAAUCCUAGAUCCUAUGCUUAACCUAAAACAAUCCAUAAGAUUAUGGUGGGAUGUUGAAGGAAAUUAUAGAGUAAAAUUGGUGUGCCAGGCUAUUCCUAAUAUCAUUGUGUGGUUUUUGUGGAAAAGGAGAAAUACUAUUUUACAUGGAGGUGUUUUUCCAGAUUUUAGAGUGAUAUCAGGUGUUAUUGAUACAGUUUUAAAGUUCAUUUAUGUCAGAUUUAAUUUAAACUGUAGCAGCAAUUAUUGGCCUCAUAUUCUCGCAUAAUUGGAGCAAUACAGACCUAAGUUUGAGUAUAAAAUUAUCAGAUGGGAACCUCCUCCUAUUAAUGUGAUGAAGUGUAACAUCAAUGGGGCAUCAAAAGGAAAUCCUGGACCUAGUUCAGCAGAAAUUUGCAUUAGAGAUUAUAAUGGAAAUCUGGUGGCCGCUAAGGGUUUCAAAAUUCAGGAUACUACAAACAUAGUGGCAGAAGCUAGAGCUAUAAGGGAAAGCAUUUCAUAAUAUAGUGAGCAUGGUAUUAAUAAUCUUAUUAUUGAGACAGACUCUCUAGAUAUGGUUCAUAUAAUUGAGGGCGACUGGGAUGUACCCUGGAAUGUGGCAUUGGAAGUCAGUACCAUCAGGAGUUGAGAAGAAGUGUUUUAGCAAGAGUAAAUCAUUUCCUUAGGGAGGAAAAUGCUCUUGCUGAUUUUUUUACUAAUCUAGUUUUCUCUUUUGCAUGUAAUUUUCAGAUCAACCAUUUUCAAGAUAUUCCAAUCGAGGGAAGAAAAUUGCUCAAUCUAGAUAAACAAGGAACACCAUACAUAAGAAGAAAUGUGCAGGAAUAAAGGGACAAACUAACAACAACAACAAACAUUAAAAUCCUCUUCGGAUUAUAAUUAGAUUCGAGCAAGAGUAUAUUUCUAUAAAGCUAAGCUAGUGCUUGAAGUAAAUUCAGUAGAUUUCGGUACUUACCCCUGGUGAGAGCUUGGGGCGUCCAAUGGUACCUAAUCAAGGCAUUAGCUUCUUGUUGAAAUUAGUCCACUCCGAUCGAAUCGACAUAAGCGUAGAAGGGGAAGCAUAAAAAGUUCUCUUUAUUAAGAGUGAUAGUAUUAACUGAUUAAAGGCUUUAAUGGUGGUAUCAAUCCCGUUGGGGUUUAACCCAUUGAGACUUUGAAAAGUUAAUACUAAUGUAAUGAAAAAAGAGAACUGGUAGAGAUACUUAGCUGAUGUACAGGAGAGCUCAGACUUGUGAGUGGUAAAGAAAAUCAGUGGAGCAUCAGGGCAAUUUUAGUCUUGCAAGUUGUAAAGGAAAUCUUACGGGCAAGCGAUUCUUUAGCUCAGAAGAAUUGGACGAACACCCCAUUGUUGAAUCUAUUGUGAGAAGAGUAGAUGAAGGAAUGGCUCUUGGAACUUUCCAAAUCUGCAGAUGGGAGUGUUGUCUUUUUGUUUAUUUGUUUAGUUAUUUCUUUUUUUAUUUUCAUCUUGUUUCUAGAGAAGGUCUUGGGGACUAAUC